UUUUGCCUUAACCCCUUAACGCCGAAUGUCGCGAUUCGGCAUCAUACCGUUCCCGCUUUGAAAGCGGCCAAAAUAUCGUCUGCCUUUGUUCACUGCCGGUACAUUAAUGUCAAACACAUGCCUAGGAACCUUUUUCAAGCAUUAGUUUCAGUCGUGUCCGACCAGAGACAACACCGCUUCCUUUUCCGGACCGUGAUAUUCAAGAUGAAAGCCACGUCGAAGUCCUGCGCACCAACUUGACUAAUUCAUUCAAUUCAAGAAAUACAAAUGAAUGCAGCAGCUUUUUACGCAAAGCUAGCACACCGGGCCAAACCACCUCCUGUUGAGAGUGCUCUCAGUGAGAGUGAGGGCAGCGAUGAGGAGUACAAUCCUAAUAAAGCAAGUGAAGGUGAUGAAAGCAGCAGCAAUGACUCUACAGUGGACAUUAGCACCAGUGAGGAAGAUGAUGAUGAUCCGCCUCAUCCACCUCCAACCACCAGUGCUGCACCUGCAAGAUCUGCAAGAGCUACAUCAAGGGCAGAUCGAGCCUAAAGCAAUAUAUCCCAAAAAAAGCCAUACAAAUUGGGAUACAAGAUUUUUGUACUGUGCGACACAAGAGGUCUGGUGCACUCAUUUGACAUAUUCACAGGGAAAAUAGAUCCGGUACCAGGCCAACCAGACAUAGGAGCCAGUGGUAACAUUGUGCUCAAGCUUGCACAAGUCAUUCAUCCUGCUCUUCUUUGAUAACUGGUUCUCAUCUGUAGAUCUGUUUGUUGCUCUUGCAAAAAAGGGCAUACCUGCACUUGGGA